ensembl:snRNA U2 U2 spliceosomal RNA
AUUUCCCUUGGGCCUUUUGGAUAAGAUCAAGUGUAGUAUCUGUUCUUAUCAGUUUAAUAUCUGAUAUGUCCUCUAUUUGAGGACUAUAUAUUAAAUAAAUAAAUGGGAGGAAGGUGGGGGACCACAU